AACGGGUGAGUAAACCCG
rnacentral:snRNA from 1 species